GGGGACUUAGCUCAGUGGUAGAGCACUUGCCUAGCAAGCACAAGGCCCUGGGUUCAGUCCUCA
rnacentral:tRNA from 1 species